UUAAGCGACUAAGCGUACACGGUGGAUGCCCUGGCAGUCAGAGGCGAUGAAGGACGUGCUAAUCUGCGAUAAGCGUCGGUGAGGUGAUAUGAACCGUUAUAACCGGCGAUUUCCGAAUGGGGAAACCCAGUGUGUUUCGACACACUAUCAUUAACUGAAUCCAUAGGUUAAUGAGGCGAACCGGGGGAACUGAAACAUCUAAGUACCCCGAGGAAAAGAAAUCAACCGAGAUUCCCCCAGUAGCGGCGAGCGAACGGGGAGGAGCCCAGAGCCUGAAUCAGUGUGUGUGUUAGUGGAAGCGUCUGGAAAGGCGCGCGAUACAGGGUGACAGCCCCGUACACAAAAAUGCACAUAUUGUGAGCUCGAUGAGUAGGGCGGGACACGUGGUAUCCUGUCUGAAUAUGGGGGGACCAUCCUCCAAGGCUAAAUACUCCUGACUGACCGAUAGUGAACCAGUACCGUGAGGGAAAGGCGAAAAGAACCCCGGCGAGGGGAGUGAAAAAGAACCUGAAACCGUGUACGUACAAGCAGUGGGAGCCUCUUUAUGGGGUGACUGCGUACCUUUUGUAUAAUGGGUCAGCGACUUAUAUUCUGUAGCAAGGUUAACCGAAUAGGGGAGCCGAAGGGAAACCGAGUCUUAACUGGGCGUUAAGUUGCAGGGUAUAGACCCGAAACCCGGUGAUCUAGCCAUGGGCAGGUUGAAGGUUGGGUAACACUAACUGGAGGACCGAACCGACUAAUGUUGAAAAAUUAGCGGAUGACUUGUGGCUGGGGGUGAAAGGCCAAUCAAACCGGGAGAUAGCUGGUUCUCCCCGAAAGCUAUUUAGGUAGCGCCUCGUGAAUUCAUCUCCGGGGGUAGAGCACUGUUUCGGCAAGGGGGUCAUCCCGACUUACCAACCCGAUGCAAACUGCGAAUACCGGAGAAUGUUAUCACGGGAGACACACGGCGGGUGCUAACGUCCGUCGUGAAGAGGGAAACAACCCAGACCGCCAGCUAAGGUCCCAAAGUCAUGGUUAAGUGGGAAACGAUGUGGGAAGGCCCAGACAGCCAGGAUGUUGGCUUAGAAGCAGCCAUCAUUUAAAGAAAGCGUAAUAGCUCACUGGUCGAGUCGGCCUGCGCGGAAGAUGUAACGGGGCUAAACCAUGCACCGAAGCUGCGGCAGCGACACUAUGUGUUGUUGGGUAGGGGAGCGUUCUGUAAGCCUGUGAAGGUGGCCUGUGAGGGUUGCUGGAGGUAUCAGAAGUGCGAAUGCUGACAUAAGUAACGAUAAAGCGGGUGAAAAGCCCGCUCGCCGGAAGACCAAGGGUUCCUGUCCAACGUUAAUCGGGGCAGGGUGAGUCGACCCCUAAGGCGAGGCCGAAAGGCGUAGUCGAUGGGAAACAGGUUAAUAUUCCUGUACUUGGUGUUACUGCGAAGGGGGGACGGAGAAGGCUAUGUUGGCCGGGCGACGGUUGUCCCGGUUUAAGCGUGUAGGCUGGUUUUCCAGGCAAAUCCGGAAAACCAAGGCUGAGGCGUGAUGACGAGGCACUACGGUGCUGAAGCGACAAAUGCCCUGCUUCCAGGAAAAGCCUCUAAGCAUCAGGUAACAUCAAAUCGUACCCCAAACCGACACAGGUGGUCAGGUAGAGAAUACCAAGGCGCUUGAGAGAACUCGGGUGAAGGAACUAGGCAAAAUGGUGCCGUAACUUCGGGAGAAGGCACGCUGAUAUGUAGGUGAAGCGACUUGCUCGUGGAGCUGAAAUCAGUCGAAGAUACCAGCUGGCUGCAACUGUUUAUUAAAAACACAGCACUGUGCAAACACGAAAGUGGACGUAUACGGUGUGACGCCUGCCCGGUGCCGGAAGGUUAAUUGAUGGGGUUAGCGGUAACGCGAAGCUCUUGAUCGAAGCCCCGGUAAACGGCGGCCGUAACUAUAACGGUCCUAAGGUAGCGAAAUUCCUUGUCGGGUAAGUUCCGACCUGCACGAAUGGCGUAAUGAUGGCCAGGCUGUCUCCACCCGAGACUCAGUGAAAUUGAACUCGCUGUGAAGAUGCAGUGUACCCGCGGCAAGACGGAAAGACCCCGUGAACCUUUACUAUAGCUUGACACUGAACAUUGAGCCUUGAUGUGUAGGAUAGGUGGGAGGCUUUGAAGUGUGGACGCCAGUCUGCAUGGAGCCGACCUUGAAAUACCACCCUUUAAUGUUUGAUGUUCUAACGUUGGCCCGUAAUCCGGGUUGCGGACAGUGUCUGGUGGGUAGUUUGACUGGGGCGGUCUCCUCCUAAAGAGUAACGGAGGAGCACGAAGGUUGGCUAAUCCUGGUCGGACAUCAGGAGGUUAGUGCAAUGGCAUAAGCCAGCUUGACUGCGAGCGUGACGGCGCGAGCAGGUGCGAAAGCAGGUCAUAGUGAUCCGGUGGUUCUGAAUGGAAGGGCCAUCGCUCAACGGAUAAAAGGUACUCCGGGGAUAACAGGCUGAUACCGCCCAAGAGUUCAUAUCGACGGCGGUGUUUGGCACCUCGAUGUCGGCUCAUCACAUCCUGGGGCUGAAGUAGGUCCCAAGGGUAUGGCUGUUCGCCAUUUAAAGUGGUACGCGAGCUGGGUUUAGAACGUCGUGAGACAGUUCGGUCCCUAUCUGCCGUGGGCGCUGGAGAACUGAGGGGGGCUGCUCCUAGUACGAGAGGACCGGAGUGGACGCAUCACUGGUGUUUGGGUUGUCAUGCCAAUGGCACUGCCCGGUAGCUAAAUGCGGAAGAGAUAAGUGCUGAAAGCAUCUAAGCACGAAACUUGCCCCGAGAUGAGUUCUCCCUGA
rnacentral:rRNA from 2 species